GAAAAAAUUAUCUACCGACAGAGUUAGAUAUUUUUUCUGCUUUUUAUUAAUACACGUUUUCGGCGAGAUAUAGAUUUUCUGUUCAAAAGGUAGUAAGCUAUAAUAUUUGAUUGUAAUUAUCAAUAUUUAACCGUAGAGCCUCUAAAUUUCUUACCUAAACUAUCUUAAACUAAAUAGCACGCAUUUCCAUUAACAAACCACUUUUCAAGUCAAAUUUAUUAAUCACCCCUUAAAGAACACGAUCCGCCAAAUAAUGUCGGAGAAUUUAGAUCCUAACAUCACUCUCUCCCGAUUAGUCAAGUUUGAAUCUAUCAAUUAACAUCACGUAAUCAGACCAUGAGAAUGACACGUCUCUGGAUAUUUUUGUUUGAAAUAAUCUAGUCCUAAUGUUUUUGUGAGGGAACGUCUUUCUUGCCGAUUCUCCGCUGGUCGAGGGAAUCAUUUAGGGUCCUUUAAUUGUCCAUGAACAGAACGAAAUUUAGAAAUUGCUAAAACACGAAUUGUCCACUGUUUGAAAUCCAGUCAGUCUCGCAUAAUUAUUAGUAUAAGCAUACGCAAGACUGAUCUUAGUUUUCCAACAGUUGUUAUUUGUAGACAUGUAUUAUAUGUACAUACAUACUUGAAAUUAUAAGUCUUUUGUGGAUUAUUUUCUUUUAUAAUAAGCUAAGUCAUUGCUGUCUAUAUCGUUAAAUUGUGAGCAAAAUUUUUGUUAUCGUUGUCUUUUAAUUUAAUGGGAUAAUUUCGACAGGGAAAGAAAUUAAACUGUCCCAUUCUGUCAUAACAUUGUGUUUAAAUGAGUUUAAAUGUCUUGUAUAGUCAGAGAUCGCCAUCAUUACAUUUCAUCAUUCUGUGAAUAUGAAAGCUGGUUUUUCUGUGAUCUAUGUAUAGACAGUUUAAGUCUUUGAAAAGUUGAAAAAUACUUGGGAGAAAAAAUAAAAGUAUGAAAUAUCU
rnacentral:misc_RNA from 1 species